rnacentral:rRNA from 1 species
GAACUGAAGAGUUUGAUCCUGGCUCAGAUUGAACGCUGGUGGCAUGCUUAACACAUGCAAGUCGAACGGUAACAGGCAGAGCUUGCUCUGUGCUGACGAGUGGCGGACGGGUGAGUAAUGCAUAGGAAUCUGCCCAGUAGCGGGGGACAACUUGGGGAAACUCAAGCUAAUACCGCAUACGCCCUACGGGGGAAAGCAGGGGAUCUUCGGACCUUGCACUAUUGGAUGAGCCUAUGUCUGAUUAGCUUGUUGGUGAGGUAAAAGCUCACCAAGGCGACGAUCAGUAGCUGGUCUGAGAGGACGAUCAGCCACACUGGGACUGAGACACGGCCCAGACUCCUACGGGAGGCAGCAGUGGGGAAUAUUGGACAAUGGGC